rnacentral:misc_RNA from 1 species
GGGCGUGUGGGGGUGUUGGAAUGUUGGGAAGGUAGGCUCCAUGCUUUUUGCAUCGAACUGCCACACCGCAUCCUUUUCAAGCCUCAAGCAUUACUUUUAUGCUUGUGAGUCGACCGUGUUCCUGUAUUUGAUACCCAUGUUGGAGGAACUAGGCCCCAGUCCUCUUUUGUCCUCUUGGUGCCUCUUAGGGGCAUCGAGGGGAGCACGAAGUUUGAUCUUUCRAMCCUAGCAUGCCUGUGUUGGUUGCRACGGUUGUCGGAUCAAACCUUGUGUUCUCGGAUGCGGAAUAUUCGAUGGGUCCAAGGAUCGUAUCCUUGCUUCGGCCYUGUGNGGGAAAUCGUCCCUCGAUAAGAACGACAUCCGUKGKGCGUUCCGAAACAUCCGACGNCCUCUCGSCUGAGGAUGCUYCGUGCNUGCACCGGUGUCCUCGAAGGAAUGCUACCUGGUGAUCCUGCCAGUAGCCAUAUGCUUGUCUCAAGAUUAAGCAUGCAUGU